rnacentral:rRNA from 1 species
GAUGAACGCUGGCGGCGUGCCUAAUACAUGCAAGUCGAGCGAACGGACGAGAAGCUUGCUUCUCUGAUGUUAGCGGCGGACGGGUGAGUAACACGUGGAUAACCUACCUAUAAGACUGGGAUAACUUCGGGAAACCGGAGCUAAUACCGGAUAAUAUUUUGAACCGCAUGGUUCAAAAGUGAAAGACGGUCUUUCUGUCACUUAUAGAUGGAUCCGCGCUGCAUUAGCUAGUUGGUAAGGUAACGGCUUACCAAGGCAACGAUGCAUAGCCGACCUGAGAGGGUGAUCGGCCACACUGGAACUGAGACGCGGUCCAGACUCCUACGGGAGGCAGCAGUAGGGAAUCUUCCGCAAUGGGCGAAAACCUGACGGAGCAACGCCGCGUGAGUGAUGAAGGUCUUCGGAUCGUAAAACUCUGUUAUUAGGGAAGAACAUAUGUGUAAGUAACUGUGCACAUCUUGACGGUACCUAAUCAGAAAGCCACGGCUAACUACGUG